rnacentral:rRNA from 1 species
GACGAACGCUGGCGGCGUGCCUAAUACAUGCAAGUCGAAAGAAGUGGCGCAAGGGUGCGUAAUAUAUAGUUAAUCUGCCCUACACAGAGGAACAACAGUUGGAACCGACUGCUAAUAACUAAUAGUGUAGGAUGAGACUAUAUAGUAUCAGCACGUAGGUAAGGUAAUGGCUUACCAAGACUAUGACGCGUAACGGGUCUGAGAGGAUGAUCAGUCACAUUUGAACUGAGAAACGGGACAGACUCCUACUGGAGGCAGCAGUAAGGAAUAUUGCGCAAUGGGUGAAACCCUGACGCAUCAACGCCGCGUGGAGGAUGACACUUUUCGGAGCGUAAACUCCUGGUAUCAGGAAAGCGGUACCUGAUGAAUAAGCACCGGCUAACUCCGUGCCAGCAGCCGCGGUAAUAC